GACGAACGCUGGCGGCGUGCUUAACACAUGCAAGUCGAACGGUGAACGAGGGAGCUUGCUCCCUCCGGAUCAGUGGCGAACGUGUGAGUAACACGUGUGCAAUCUGCCCCGAACUCUGGGAUAAGCGUUGGAAACGACGUCUAAUACCGGAUACGACCCUGGAGGGCAUCCUCUCCGCGUGGAAAGAACUUCGGUUCGGGAUUAGCGCGCGGCCUAUCAGCUUGUUGGUGGGGUAACGGCUCACCAAGGCGACGACGGGUAGCCGGCCUGAGAGGGUGACCGGCCACACUGGGACUGAGACACGGCCCAGACUCCUACGGGAGGCAGCAGUGGGGAAUAUUGCACAAUGGGCGCAAGCCUGAUGCAGCAACGCCGCGUGAGGGACGACGGCCUUCGGGUUGUAAACCUCUUUUAGCAGGGAAGAAGCGAAAGUGACGGUACCUGCAGAAAAAGCACCGGCUAACUACGUG
rnacentral:rRNA from 1 species